AUUGAACGCUGGCGGCAGGCCUAACACAUGCAAGUCGAACGAGUGGCGGACGGGUGAGUCAUGUCUGGGAAACUGCCUGAUGGAGGGGGAUAACUACUGGAAACGGUAGCUAAUACCGCAUACCAUCAGAUGUGCCCAGAUGGGAUUAGCUUGUUGGUGGGGUGACGGCUCUCCAAGGCGACGAUCCCUAGCUGGUCUGAGAGGAUGACCAGCCACACUGGAACUGAGACACGGUCCAGACUCCUCCGGGAGGCUGCAUUGGGGAAUAUUGCAGAAUGUGAUCAAGCCUGAUGCAGUCAUGCCGCGUGUAUGAAGAAGGCCUUCGGGUUUUAAAGUACUUUCAGCGGGUAGGCGUUACCCGCAGAAGAAGCACCGGCUAACUCCGUGCCAGCAGCCGCGGUAAUAC
rnacentral:rRNA from 1 species